ensembl:lncRNA
CAACGUUUUCUGUAUAUAAAUGAAUACUUACUAGUUGUAGCAACAAAAUAUCAGUGCAGAAAACAUAGUUAUUGUCUUCAUACGUUUCCCAGGAUCAGUGCUGACACUGUGCUGGAUGUUUGAAUACAUCCACGACCGCUGCCAGCUGCAGGCUGAGCGCCUCCUGAGUCACUGAGGUCUCCUGUGUUCGCUUCUGUUGCCUGACGUUCAAGCUGUGCUGCCUCAGCUCACAGCAAUCAGCUGGCAUCACUUUCAUCUCCAGCUGCCUUCUUAUUUGGUGGGCUCUUGAAAGAGGAAGGGAAGGAUUCAAGUUCUACAGCCAAAUCCACAGCCUUUUGGAAAGACUUUUGCUUGUCUUUUUCUCCUGAUCUUGAUCUGCAAGUCCAGAUGCAUUGGAGUGUGUAUAAACUGGUUCAUUGCCUGUUUAUCCUGGAAGACCUUGCAAGUAUUUGAAUAUGCCAAAAAUACAAGUUUCCUCAAGUCCUUUGCCAGUUCAAGUGGGGUCUCUUCCUUCCCUCCUGACUCCUACCUCUUAGCUGUGCUGUGGCCAACUAUGCCCUGUGUGGAUUCAUCCAAGCAUAUCAAGGGCUGGUCCUGGAUUAGAAUGAUUCAGAUAUUGGAGGGGAAGAAAAACGUUGCCACAAUCAUUGAUGCUAGAAUGAACUAGUUGACUGCGUAAAAAAACCCUGCACCAUCUUCUGUGCCAUUCAUUCGAGUUUGGCAUUGAACUGAACAACUGCCAGAGCUUGUACUUCAGAUUUGCAGGAAUAGCAACUUGAAAUUUCUGUGCUUACGCUUCAGAUCUCAUUGCUAACACCACUAAUCCCUUUUUGACCUAAGGGGCUCACCAAUUUUAGCUUGUUUCUGUUGGGAGGAGAAUUUGCUAUGGACUGAAUCUCUGGGACAAAUCUAUUUUGUUAAAAGAAUAUGCACAGGAGCCUGUUUGCCUGAGCACAGCUGGGAUUAGCAACAUGACUGAGAAACCACUGCCCUCUUCCAAGCCAGCCCUCCACUCUAAAACUCUUCACUCUUCUCAGAUCAUGUCACAAACAUUUCUCUGUUCACUUUGGAUUCGUUUGCUGCCUUAAUUUGUUCUUUCACUGCUUCUUUCAGAGAUUCAAGCAUGUAACACAAAAAAUCAACAUAAAACCCUCUGUCAUUGCAUUUUUUAAUUUAACCUCAGUUCAAUUUCUGCCUGCAAGGAUCAGCCUAUUCCCAAGCUUUUACAGAUAUUCUCUGUUUUCACCUAAACAAAAGGAAAACUAGCGAAACUAGCUCACAGUCAGCAAAAUGAAUUGUUUGAUACCAGCCAGAGUGUUUGAUAAUUCUCCACUGACACUGACUAGAGAAAACAGCUAACCAAAGGAGUCACGUUUCUCAGGAUAUAUCCUGGAAGUUGAUGUGCAUCUGUAGAAACUUACCCAUCUCGGAAUUAACUGGAAUUUCGGUCUUAUUGUGAUGGACAUUAUGGGUGGAAGUAGAAUGAAUGCAUUACUCCAGUUUGUCUACUCAAGAAAAGACUUCCUUUUGAAAUGCAUAGCUAUGAACUGGAGUUGGGAGUUACUUAUUCUUGACUAUAUCUGUUCUGGAUGUCUUUGAGUGUUUGGGAAAGAAGGUGGAAGAGGGUAUUCUUAACAGAGGAUGUUGUGUCAAAGAUUAAAUCUUGCUUUACAAACACAAAGUGAAGGAGGGCAUUUGAUUUUUAGCUGUAAUGUAUACCCUUUAAAAAAGAAUGGAAAAGAAAG